UUGCCUUCACUGUAUUCCAGUUCAUGCUUGCACCUUUUAUUUUUUUUCACAACUCUUUAGGCUUCAGCCCUUCUGACAUGACCCCACAAGGAAUAUUGGAUGAUAAACAACACGCAUGUGGCAGGAAGAUCAAUAGACUAAGACUGGAAUGUGAAACGUGGGAUAUAGCAGCACAACAGUAAAGAGAUGCUACAGGAAGUGUUCGUGCUGGCAGCCUAGAUGUGUGGAGCCAAGAAAAAGAAUGGAAUGAUACUCUGCCCUUUCCUGGGAUCAGACAACAGGAUGCUACCUCCCACAAUCAGGACAUCCUUGGAUCGUCAGAACAAGUUUAUGAAGGUUUAGGAUACUGAUCACUUAAGGUGCUUCUGUUCCAGGCACAGGAAACUUGAAACUAUGUCUUAAAGGUCCUGGGACCACGAAAAAAGACAAAUCUACAUGGAUGCAACAGGCCAUCAAGUAAACAAGACCAUCAAGUAAACAAAAGGAAACUUAACUACUUGGAACAAAAGAGGAGUAGCAUCAAAAACAUUUUGGGAUGUACCA